AGAAGGAUCGGUGAUGGCCACCUCUCUACUUUUCCAUGCCAGCAGGAUGCCGCCGCGGGUCCCAGUCGCUGGGAGGUAUACAUAGUCGUCGAAUUCCGAGCCUAGGGUCUCGAGGACAAUCGACGAGCAGAUCAAUUCCAUCUUUGUUUCUUGAAAGCAAGCGAUCGAGGCACUAGUGGUUACAAUCAGUGAUCUAAUGGCGAGACGUUGGGCUUCGGUCCGCGCACGUUCCACACA
rnacentral:lncRNA from 1 species